rnacentral:rRNA from 1 species
CCUACGGGUGGCAGCAGUGAGGAAUAUUGGUCAAUGGGCGAGAGCCUGAACCAGCCAAGUAGCGUGAAGGAUGACUGCCCUACGGGUUGUAAACUUCUUUUAUAAAGGAAUAAAGUGAGGCACGUGUGCCCUUUUGUAUGUACUUUAUGAAUAAGGCUUGGCGAACUCCGUGCCAGCAGCCGCGGUAAUACGGAGGAUCCGAGGGUUAUCCGGAUUUAUUUGGUUUAAAGGGAGCGUAGAUGGGUAGUUAAGUCAGUUGGGAAAGUUUGCGGCUCAACCGUAAAAUUGCAAUUGAUACUGGCAGUCUGGAGUACAGUUGAGGUAGGCGGAAUUCGUGGUGUAGCGGUGAAAUGCUUAGAUAUCACGAAGAACUCCGAUUGCGAAGGCAGCUUACUAAACUGCCACUGACAUUGAUGCUCGAAAGUGUGGGUAUCAAACAGGAUUAGAUACCCUUGUAGUC